rnacentral:rRNA from 1 species
GUUAGGAAUAUUCGGCAAUGGGGGAAACCCUGACCGAGCAAUGCCGCGUGAAUGAUGAAGGCCCUAUGGGUUGUAAAAUUCUUUUAUUAAGGAAGAACUAUAAAAGCAGGAAAUGGUUUUUAUUUGACGGUACUUAUUGAAUAAGCCCCGACUAACUACGUGCCAGCAGUCGCGGUAAUACGUAGGGGGCGAGCGUUAUCCGGAUUUAUUGGGCGUAAAGCGUGCGUAGGCUGUUUAUUAAGUCUGAAAUUAAAGCCUGUGGCUUAACCACAGUUCGUUUCAGAUACUGGUAGGCUUGAGUAUGGUAGAGGCAAAUGGAAUUCCUAGUGUAGCGGUGAAAUGCGUAGAUAUUAGGAGGAACAUCAGUGGCGAAGGCGGUUUGCUGGGCCAUAACUGACGCUGAGGCACGAAAGCGUGGGGAGCAAAUAGGAUUAGAAACCCUAGUAGUCC